rnacentral:rRNA from 1 species
CCUACGGGAGGCAGCAGUGGGGAAUAUUGCACAAUGGGCGGAAGCCUGACGCAGCGACGCCGCGUGAGGGAUGAAGGCCUUCGGGUUGUAAACCUCUUUCAGCAGGGACGAAGCGUGAGUGACGGUACCUGCAGAAGAAGCACCGGCUAACUACGUGCCAGCAGCCGCGGUAAUACGUAGGGUGCGAGCGUUGUCCGGAAUUACUGGGCGUAAAGAGUUCGUAGGCGGUUUGUCGCGUCGUUUGUGAAAACCCGGGGCUCAACUUCGGGCUUGCAGGCGAUACGGGCAGACUUGAGUGUUUCAGGGGAGACUGGAAUUCCUGGUGUAGCGGUGAAAUGCGCAGAUAUCAGGAGGAACACCGGUGGCGAAGGCGGGUCUCUGGGAAACAACUGACGCUGAGGAACGAAAGCGUGGGUAGCAAACAGGAUUAGAUACCCUGGUAGUCCACGCCGUAAACGGUGGGCGCUAGGUGUGGGUUCCUUCCACGGGAUCUGUGCCGUAGCUAACGCAUUAAGCGCCCCGCCUGGGGAGUACGGCCGCAAGGCUAAAACUCAAAUGAAUUGACGG